CAGGAAGCCUAUUCCAUUUAGCCUCCUUCACCUCAGCAUAGAACUCCUCAUGCUCUGACACCUUAAAACGCACAACCAACCCUCAGGAGGGGUGUUCACCAUUUGGGCUCAUCUCUAAUACUGGAGAUUCCGAGGAGAACCAGAGGAAAUGAGGAGGCCCUGAGAGAACCUUCGCGAGAUGUGUCCAAGCAGACCCGGGCACACAGUUGGCGCUCACAAACGGCGCCGAUCCGAACUAGAUGGCUCGCCUGUCCCUAAACAACCAGUGGUCCUCAGUGUGUCAGGAGGUCUGACAGAGGGGAAAAAAAAAAGAUGCACAGAGAGGAAAUGAACUGAGACAACAUCACUUCACAGCAACCGGAAGGAAAAACACCCACAAGGUCGCCAUUCACAGUCUGCGUGUGCAGUUGCUCUGUGGGGAAAUGCUCACAGCUGCCUUCAGAAGGAAGUCUAGCGGCUGCAGCAAGACAGAAGCACGGCCAUGAGGCAGGACUGAGCCGCCACCUCCCGCCUGCCUGCCCAGAGGGAGGGCAAGGACGCGACCAGAGGAUCCCACAGCCUUCCGCCCUGGGGCCUGUCAGAACCAAGUGGCUCCCUCUGGAAGUUCUGCCCAACGCUCCGGCACCAUAGCAAGCCGUCCAGUGUGAUCUGAGCCCUCUUAAGAGGGUCUAAGUUAUUCUUUACAGCCAAGCAAGCAGAGCUGGGGAUACUGUGACGUCAGGAGGCUUGUUAGGUAAACAGAGCACAUUUCCCUGAGGUCAGAGCCGUCCACUCUCCUCUCACUGGGGUCUUGGCCCAGACCUGCCCAGAACAUCGCCUGCAGUAGAGUGACCCAUGAUGCAGCCCGCUCUCCAGAGUACUCUCCAAAUUCCCUCUGACCUGCACGGAAAGAUGUUUGAAUAAAACGUUUCACUGUAAACCUUCAAACUCAACGUUUCUAGAAGACUCCUUUGGGAAUGUCCAUGGCGUUGGGCUUCCUGCCAUCUACCAUUGACACCUCACAAAAAGUGGCCCUGGCAGAGACAGAUCACAGAACUGAGGAGGACGGGUGAGUUCGUCCACAGACCCUUGAAUGCUUCAGCUGGCUGGGGCCCAGAUUUCCGGAAAUAUGGACAUGGCGUUUCAGGUCAAAUGAAAGUGGUCGUUUCAGAACUCUCCCCAGGAAAAACUGGUAAGGAGUGAGGAAGUGGGACCAUGGAAAGGCACACUGCCAAGAGCAAGAAAGGAAAGGCACACUGCCAAGAGCGAAGUUGGAUAGAAGGUGACUUGGAUCAAACCCACAGGGGAGCUUGGAGCUGGUCCAGGCCACGUGACAAGGCUGUCUUGAAGGGACAACACAGGAGCUGGGGUUUUUAUACCUCCCAUUCCAUCGGUCAUUGGUUCAGUGCUGCUCCCAGGGGACUUCACUUCCUGGGCACUGCCUGUGCACACAGGCUAAUAGAUUCCUACAGCCUCACAACAAUCCACUGUGGCUGUAGGAAGAAGACCAUACAGGCAGGACCCGGUGCAAAAUGAAAAUGUGGGAGCCCUUUUUUAAAAAGCAGGGAAAAGGUGCCAAAUAAAAGGUACUAAAAUAAAAGCUUUUUCCUUUCUUCCAGAGUC